GACGAACGCUGGCGGCGUGCCUAAUACAUGCAAGUCGAGCGGAUCUUACCUUUCGGGGUAAGGGUAGCGGCGGACGGGUGAGUAACACGUAGGCAACCUGCCUGUAAGACCGGGAUAAAUACCGGAUACGGUAGCUAAGACCGGAUAAUCGGUUCUCUCGCACGGGAGAAGCGUGAAACUCGGGGAAACCAGGAGCUUGCGGAGGGGCCUGCGGAGCAUUAGCUGGUUGGUAGGGUAACGGCCUACCAAGGCGACGAUGCGUAGCCGACCUGGGAGGGUGAACGGCCACACUCGGACUGAGACACGGCCCAGACUCCUACGGGAGGCAGCAGUAGGGAAUCCUCCGCAAUGGACGCAAGUCUGACGGAGCAACGCCGCGUGAGUGAGGAAGGCCUUCGGGUCGUAAAGCUCUGUUGCCCUAGACGAAUGUCUUGGAGAGUAACUGCUCUAAGAGUGACGGUAUAGGAGAAGAAAGCCCCGGCUAACUACGUGCCAGCCGCCGCGGUAAAAC
rnacentral:rRNA from 1 species